rnacentral:rRNA from 1 species
UACGUAGGGGGGCAAGCGUUGUCCGGAUUUAUUGGGCGUAAAGAGCGUGUAGGCGGCUAGGUAGGUCCGUUGUGAAAACUCGAGCUCAACCUCGAGACGCCGGUGGAAACCAUCUAGCUAGAGUCCGGAAGAGGAGAGUGGAAUUCCUGGUGUAGCGGUGAAAUGCGCAGAUAUCAGGAGGAACACCUAUUGCGAAGGCAGCUCACUGGCCCGGUACUGACGCUGAGACGCGAAAGCGUGGGGAGCGAACAGG